rnacentral:rRNA from 1 species
AAGCCCUUCGGGGUGGAUUAGUGGCGAACGGGUGAGUAACACGUGGGCAAUCUGCCCUUCACUCUGGGACAAGCCCUGGAAACGGGGUCUAAUACCGGAUAACACUUCCACUCUCCUGGGUGGAGGUUAAAAGCUCCGGCGGUGAAGGAUGAGCCCGCGGCCUAUCAGCUUGUUGGUGAGGUAACGGCUCACCAAGGCGACGACGGGUAGCCGGCCUGAGAGGGCGACCGGCCACACUGGGACUGAGACACGGCCCAGACUCCUACGGGAGGCAGCAGUGGGGAAUAUUGCACAAUGGGCGAAAGCCUGAUGCAGCGACGCCGCGUGAGGGAUGACGGCCUUCGGGUUGUAAACCUCUUUCAGCAGGGAAGAAGCGAAAGUGACGGUACCUGCAGAAGAAGCGCCGGCUAACUACGUGCCAGCAGCCGCGGUAAUACGUAGGGCGCAAGCGUUGUCCGGAAUUAUUGGGCGUAAAGAGCUCGUAGGCGGUCUGUCACGUCGGAUGUGAAAGCCCGGGGCUUAACCCCGGGUCUGCAUUCGAUACGGGCAGACUAGAGUGUGGUAGGGGAGAUCGGAAUUCCUGGUGUAGCGGUGAAAUGCGCAGAUAUCAGGAGGAACACCGGUGGCGAAGGCGGAUCUCUGGGCCAUUACUGACGCUGAGGAGCGAAAGCGUGGGGAGCGAACAGGAUUAGAUACCCUGGUAGUCCAC